rnacentral:lncRNA from 1 species
AAAACGGAGUCAAUCCCUUUGGCUGCGGGCACAGAAAUUUGUGUCUAAACAGCACGUGUGUAUCCUUUUCUUUAUUGUUUCUUGCUUAAGAGUACAGGGUAAGCCAGUGCUGGAAGUGAGUUCCUGAGUGAGGAGGCAGGGACAUCACAGUGGAACCUGUAAGUUCAAAGCCAGCUUUUGGGCAGCCUAGCAAGACCUCGUGCAGAGUUUUAAAAACACAACAGAACAAGCUCAAAGAUGGCACUCACAUGCCACGUCCCAAGCAUUGGGGAGGGCCUAGGUUCUUUCCGAGAACACAAGGUCUUCAAGGACUUAGGGCUUGGAAGUGGCGGUGGCUGGGCUCACCUGUGUGGCUGAUGGGGUAUGGUCUCUGUGUUCCGUCUAGGUUCUCGGUAUAGUAGUGGGAGUUCUCCUGCAGGACCACGAUGUCCGGCAGAGCGAGUUUCAGCAGCUUCCCUACCAUAGGAUUUUCAUCAUGCUGCUGCUGGAGCUCAAUGCACCUGAGCACGUGUUGGAGACCAUCAAUUUCCAGACCCUUACAGCUUUCUGCAAUACAUUCCACAUCUUGAGGCCUACCAAAGCUCCUGGCUUUGUAUAUGCUUGGCUUGAAUUGAUCUCGCAUCGGAUCUUUAUUGCAAGAAUGCUGGCACACACGCCACAGCAGAAGGGGUGGCCUAUGUAUGCACAGCUGUUGAUUGAUUUAUUCAAAUAUUUAGCACCUUUCCUUAGAAAUGUGGAACUCACUAA